AUGGGGUCUUCUACUGACUUAAAAGGGGUCUUGAUCAGUCCUUUUAUUUAUUUAAGGUGGGUUUUUCAAAGGAACCUGUGGGUAUUAGGUACCCAAAUUACAUUGAAGAACUGAAAAAAAAAAAAGUCAAAAUCAUGAAGUUUCCUGACUACAAAUCCAGCUCCCAUCUGCCCAGAAGCUCCAUCUCUGUGCUGGUCCAAGGCCUCCCUGCACCCCUAUGUACCCAGCGGCUUCUCACCCGGGGCGUGCCAGAGGCCACUCUAUGCUGUAACAGGGGUUCCCCCAGCAGGGAAGAGAAGGAAGAGUUGCUGCAGCCCCAGAACCUUCACAAACCCAUUUGGAGCUCCAGGUUCCAUAAGAAAUGUGAUGGAGUCCUCUGUGAUACCUGGCGUGAAUCCUAGGAGUCCUAGAAGAGGACACGGACUAUUUUGUGCCAUCUCCUCAUAGCACAUGGAUUAAGCUCUUUGCAGGCCCCCGAUCCAAACACUAGUCCCUCAACCUUACCUCCUUGCCUUGCCAGCGAACCAGAGGCAUAAUGGGACACUCACUGAGUCCGCUCACACAUGGCACAGGAGGGAGGAGCUCCAUCGCUCGGCGGCUGGCCUCACUCCCAUCCUGUGUGGGAGGAAGAGCCAGUGUUGGGAAGCAGCUGAUUCCAUGCACCAAGGAGAAACCAGCCCCCUCACCUUCCGCGGAGUGUCACCGGGCAGGAGGGCUGCUUGGCUCAACCUCCAUCACGGUCAAUUUCAUUCUGUGCUCCCCUGCCCCCACCCGCAGUCUGUGUGCGCAUGCAUGGUAGGGAGCGUGACUGCAGGCUGGCUCCCAGAACCAGCUGGCAGCAGGUGGGAGCUCUCACAGCAAAACCCAGGCAACAGAACUGACACACACACAAAGAAUCCAAUAGCCCAUGACAGAUGGCUCCAGCAGCUUGCAUCCUCCCCUCACCCCCCAUCUUUUCCCUUUCUCUGCUUUUUUUCAUUCACUUCCCCUCUCCUUUCUUUUCUUUCACGUCUCCUCCUCUAGACUUUUUCUCUCAUUUCUUUUUCUUAUUUCAGCCUUCACUGCUCCCUCUCCCCAACCACUUUUUGCUCCCUCUCUUUCCUCCUUCCUAUCUCAUCUCUGUGCAUUUAUUUGUUUUAUGAAGUUUGAGCUGCUGGAAGGACAGACCUGCAGACAUCCAGGUUGGGAGCUGCACGGGAACCAGAAUUUCCAUUCUGCAGGAAAUUCCAUGAUUUCCUCAUGUAUUUUCUUUCCAAAUCAGGGGGGGGAAAAAAGUCAAAUUUCAAACUUCCCCAUGAAGUGAAAUGUUGUUUUGGGCCAAUCGAAGGGUUUCAUUUCAAUAAAAGCCAAAGGUUGGGUUACAAUUUUUAAAAUUUAAGCCUUUUUUAAAAUAACAAAAUAAUUUUUUUGCAACAAAAACUCAUUUCAAAACCCCAAAUCGAAACAUUCCAUUCCCAAACUGUCAAAAUGGAAGAGCCAUGGGGACGGAACAGGUCAGUGGCCAGGCUGGGAACAGAGUCCUGUGUCCUAAGCCACAUGGGCGGAACUUUUUGACCUUGUCAAAAUGCUUCCUUUCUAUUGUUUUGAAAGUAAAAUGUUGUUGAAAUUGACACGUUCCUGCAGAAAAUUUUGAUUUUGACAAAAUGGCAUUUUCUAGCCAUCUCUUUGGCCCAGAUCCUGAAAGGUAUUUAGGCUCCUAACUUCCACUAAAUCGCUGUCUCACAGUGCAUUUUAGCCCUAUUCUUUCUCCACUGUUCUUCCACCUUCCCCUUCCCCUUUCCCAGCAUCGCUUAUUCUCUCCCAACUGCCCUUCUCCCAGGAAAGACUCCUCCUCUCUCAUUGCCCAUGUUACCCUGCCUGCAAUGGCAGUGAAGGGUUAAAGGGAGCUCAGUUAGCCUGUUCUGUGGCACCUGCUGGCAGACAGGUCGUUAAGGAUUAGACCCAGCUGGGGAGAACCAGCCUGGGUAGUUCCUAUAAAGGAAGGACUGCAGGGAGUUGAGGAAAGCUGCAGUAGGGAGUGUGAACAUUAGGACUGGUCUUGCGGGGGAGGGUUACAGGAGAGAAGGGAACAUUUGGAGCUGACUAGGGAAACUGAGGCAAUGCUGCAUGAGCCACAAAGUGGCAAAGGAAGCAGGCGCCUCCAGCCCCGGAUCUGUUCUGUGAAAGGAACUGGGAGGCAGAUGAAGUGCACUCAGCAGCCCUGCUCUAGACAGCGGAUCCUUCCCUCCUCGGGGGAGCCUGGCGCAGUUAAAUCCCUUUAUGGACAGGCUGAGCCCUUAAUCAAAGUCAGCGUCAAUCCGCCGAGGUCAAGCUCCACAACCAGGGAACUAUGGGAUUGGAUUCACCUGAGCAGGAGCUGCCAUUGCCCUGCUCCAGAGUCUUUCUUGCACCUCGUUUCCAAGCAUCCUUGCUUUGUGCCUGCCUGAGGAGCCUCUUCGCUCGGUCCUGACGUGGGCCACCAAUUUCUCCAGCCACGUCCCUGUCCAACGCUUGAUGCGUGUCAAUAUCCACAGAGAGCCCCUGCAAUGCGGCCGCCUCUGGGGGCGAGGGCAGCAGCCAGGUGGACAACUGAUGCAGCGAACAGUCAUCCAUUGUAUGAAUGGGUGGUCGGGAGUCAAGCCUCUGUUCUACAUCUCCUCACACGACCUCCUGCAGCAUGGUGCCCCUAGCACCACCCUGCAGUGGUGGUUCGGGGGGAGAUUGCCACAUACUGGAGGAUAAAGACUACUUUCUCCAGCACCUAGGUCCCUUCCUCCUAACACACUCUGCUCAAUCAAUCAGAAAAAGGCUGAGCAAAGAAACAGACUUUGCAGUGUGCUCUGAAGCUCAGUGAACUUGCGCUGUAGCCGAUCAAGGAGAUGCAAAUGGCAUAGACAAGAAUGCCCUUGGCUGAAAAGACUCUGCCCUAGCUAGCCCCAGUGUGAGGGGCCAUCCACAGUCCAAGGAAUGCUCAAGGACAAGACGUGGGGUUCUCUCAAACCUGCUCCCCCACCUGGUCUGAACUGUUGGCUGAACACAGAAGCAGAGCGGGGGAGUCUCCCGCCGCUUCUCCAUUUCUCAACUCCUGCAAUUUUGGGGGCUAAACAUGUGGCCAGAAUAUAACUCUAUCCUGACUCCUUACUCCGAUGAUGUGGGGUGAGAAAAAAAGACCAGGGUGAAUCGCCUCCAUGACCUGAGCAUCCUCCAGACUUUCAACAUUAGGGGGCCAAGGUUCUGCUGGUGGAACAUAUGGCUGGAGUGGUGGCUGGUGUGGGUAUGUCGGUAGUGCAAGCUACCCGCCGGCUGGGUUUCUCUGGGUGGGGACAGCCUGCCAGGGCAGCACAGAAAGGAGAUGGGGGACAGAUCCUUUGGUCCAAUGUCUCUUUUGGGCAGAUGCUGCCAACAUGGUUCCUACAUUCAAACCUAGUGGAGUAUGUCAGAGGACUCGGGGGUGGUGUCCCACAUGGGCAUAUCUGAGUCCAUCCCUUGCACCUAGGCCCAUUGCUGCUUUUUUUCUGGCAUACCAAGAGUCAUGCCCUAAAUAGCUGAUUAAACUCUUCAUUCACCACAUCCCUCUCCAGUGCCCCUACGGGCCCCUUGUCUCUCUCACACAAACGGGCCAGAUGCUCAGCUGCUGUAAACUGGCAUAUUGGAGUGAUGCCAGUUUACACCAGCUGAAGAUCUGGCUUAUUACAGUGAAGGGAAAGCAUGGAUCCUUUAGUUUAAGAAAACGUGUCUACAUCACACAAGCACCCCCACAACCACCCACUAUUACCCCAUUGGUAGAGGGAGCAAGGCAGAGAUUCUGAUUUCAGUGACACCAUCUGCCCCAGGGCAAUUCCACUGAUUUUAACUGGGAGAUCAGAAUCAGGCCCCCAAGAGUUUAAGAACAGGCAUGGACAGGGCCGGUGGGCAGAGUCAUUAGAAGUCAGUGGUAGAAACCCCAUAGUUCUACCAGGGUAAAACAAUUCAGGGGUUUUGGCCCCACUUCAGCUUCCCAAACACAGUCUGGGUGUCAAGUUUCUGCUACAAAAUGAAGGCUUGAAUGCACACUGAAGGUUCUUCAUGUGGACUUCUUUCUUACCCAUCUGAGAGAGAUUGGAGGCACGUGGUAGGGUAAUGAGGUAAAGUGGAGGUGCACAGUAGGGUAACAUGUCAUUGCCUGCAUUGUGGAUGCACAAAGGAUUCGGUCUCCAGGGAUGGCAACCCAAUAUUUCUAGAUGCUAGGUCCCCAAACAUCAUCUGGGGGGUGGGCCUUUUGUCCCUUUGGUGGGCUCCACCCCCAUCCCAGGAUUUAAAUAGGCUGGCAUGUUUCACCCCCCACUGCAGAAAAAAACACCGACAUCCACCCUGCAAAGGGAUACAGAUAGAAUAAAGUGAUGCUUGUCAGUCACCUUGGUGGGUCUGACGGGACUUUGCACAAGGCUGCUGAAUUUGAGCUGAGUACCUGCACCGGAGUCGGUUUGGAUAUUGCUGACUCUGAACUUUGAUUUAAUUACACAGAAAUAGAAAUUCCUCAAUGCAUUGUAAUGCGUCCCAGUCUGAGUCGUAAAUGCAUCCUGGCCUCUCUCCCAUGUGCUUUUUAUAACUUUGGUUUCAGAUGACAAACCUGAUUGUACAACAGCCUUCCUGGACAGAAGAGCUAGAGCUGUAAUGGGGCCAACUCCAUCUUGACCAUAAUUCCCCUGACUUCAGUGGAGUUACAGCAGGGACACAUUUGACCUGAGCUGUCACUGUCUUACUUCUAAUUAGCACCCAACAGUAGUUGGCUCAGCGGCAUGAAAGGCUGGUUCAGCUCAGGCAGAGCAUUUGCUAGCCUGAUGCAAAGUCAAUGGGACUCUUUCUGCUGCCUUCAAUGUGUUUUGGAGUGGGCCCUAACAGAACUGUGGUGCAUGCUCAGAUGUUGAACUAUAUCCAGCUAUGAUCAGGUUAUCAGAGUCCCCCAAUGAAUGGUCACCCAGUCUGUCAGAACUUUGGAUCCCGCAUGCAUCCAAGCCGGCUGACACUGAGUGGCUGGGCUUUAAGUCCCACCUGUGACACAGCCAGGUUGGGAAAAUGAAGGUCACGUGACCCAA